rnacentral:sRNA from 1 species
CGACAAAUAAAAGACAAGUGGUGGCAG